GCGUCGGCGGAGCUAUGAAUGGGCAGAGAGGGGUGUUCUCUCACAGACACCAUAGCAGCAGUGAGAUGAGGAGUGCCAUCUACUCCACUGCACGUCUGCUGCACUGAGAGAAGAAGAAAAAGAAGCAAGAAGGGGGAAAAGGAGUAAUUGUUCAACCAGAGGACAAGGUGAUCCCUCCUAAACCUGCAUCAGCGCUGAGGAAAAACCUUCAAGUCGGCCAUGGAACAGAAAGUUAAUGAGUGUCCCACCACCACCUCUCCUCAGAAGCACAUGAAGAACAGGUCUAAAUCCACAGAGGAGAUGCAGCAGUCGAAGAAGGCCUUUGCUUCACAAAAAUCCCUGCCAGGCCGACCAGAGCUGGACAGAGUGAAGGAGUGUCCUGAUGGCUCUGACACGCCUUCAUCCUCCAGUGAAGAACUGAAGUGAUAAAAGAAAAAAACAGCAGGACAAGAAAGCUAUGAAAACUAUGAAAUCAUCACAAACAUAAAUGUACAUAUGUACACAGGGAAACAUGCAGAAAAUUGGGGAUAAUGGGCAAUUUAGAAAAUAAAACAAACAAGCCAUGAAUUUAAGAAAAUGUAUAUACAGAGAAGUGAGCAUCAAUUCACACUCAGACUCAAAAACACACCGAGACAAUCGCAUGUAAACACAAGGACACCUGUGAUGAUGCUGUUUCAUUGUGCUGUGAGUGGUGUCUACAUAGCAACUGAAUGUGUAGUGACAAUAAAGUGAUGUUGUGUGUGCUGAAACACCGUAGGACUGUUUGCCAGGUUCCUACACAAGAGUUCAACUUAGUAAAGCUACAAUUGAAGACUUUUACUGAGGAUGCCAGAGCUCUGACAGGUGAAUAAAAUGCCUGAAAAUGA